CAGCCCAAGGAGUUAUUGGCUUCCAGGACCGGAAGUGCCCCCACCAACAAGGCAACCGCAGGUAGUUAGUUACUCAUUACCUCCCAGGCCCGUGGCCCCUGCGCUCCGAGGGUUCAAACAUGACCUGGACGGAGGGUCUUACAACAUGUGUGAACCUGCAAUAGGUGCUGGGAAAUGGCGCAAGCGGCCCCGCCCCCGGGCGCCUCUGCUCCCCGGGCCCCGCCCGCCCCGUCCAUCCUCUCUCUCGGCCUGUUUCCUUCCCUCUCCUUCCAUUCUCUUUCUUUUGUGUAAAACGGUAAAUCACUGUCACAGCGGAUGGACGUGCUGAGAGCGUCCCCGCCAGGCCCCCUGGGGAGUGAUGCGGGCGCAGUUCCACUCUCCUUCAAGCUGGCGGCAUCGUCCCCUCCCCACUCGGUCAGGCUAAGGGGCUUGCACUUCCCCAGGGGGACCGGCUCACAGGGGCGAGGCUCUCAGACACGGCUUCUUAGGCCUCAGAUUGCGGCCGGGCCUCGGCGUGCUCCUCAGCAUCCUCCUGGUGGAGAGAUUGCCAGCAUUACAUGGGGAGCUCUUUGCAAGCCCCUGUAACAUGGGAAAGUCAUGCACCCAAGGAGAGGUCCAGGUCUCCGGAGUGUGAGGUGCAGCGCCCCCUUCAGGCUCCUGAGCCCUGACGUGGAAGCUGCUCUCACAGGGCGUGGACUGUGCUGCCCGCCUGACACCUGGACCUGCCACCAUCCCCGCCCCACCGCCCUGGCACCUUCCUCCCACCCCAGGGUCUGCCGCCUGGAAACCACCGUUCUCUGGCUCAUUCUUGAGCGUGAACGUUUCUGAAUCUGCCCAACAAGACCACGUCAUUGGGAAACGAAAGCAGCGAAGAGCUGCCUGUCCGGGGCGCAAACAGAGUCUGUUCGCUGCUCAGGGUCCUGGCAGGGCUCCCUUUGCCCGUGGGCCCCUCUGCAGGCGGCUUUCACUGUGUUCUAUUAGAGCAUCACCAGGGAAAUACGGUCUCGCUACCCUGAAGGCGGCUUUCCCUUCCCUCCACCUUCCCCUCGCGUUUGCUGGCCUUUGUUUCACAGGCUCUGGGCCCUGGGAUGACAUGCCUAUCAGCCCUCAGCUCCCUAAAGCCCUCGCCCAUAGCCCGGCCGCUCAGUCAGACGGGGUGACGGGUGACGAGGUCGCUGCUCAGCAGGGGCGUCAUUUUCUUAACUGAGCGUUGCUUGCGGAAAUGGGGACAUGGGUUUUUGAAAAACUGGCAGUCUUCAUUGGACGUCUCCUCAUCAGGCGUGUCCUAAGCUUCAGGAAAAUAUUAGGAGAGAAGCUGAACUCCUGAGUCGGCACUGGGACUCGCCAGAGAUCCGGGCAGAGGUCCGACCCUCUGUGCAUAAACCCCACGGAGGAGCCACACCGUCCUCCCCCCAACAUUGUCCUUCUCCACCUGAUUAGGACCAACGCCUUCCCCGCCGGCCCUGGGAGAGGCACGACGGCAGAGAGCACUGCAGUCUUCUAAGAAGGAAGAGGGGAGCCAGGAUGCUGUAAGUGCUUCCGUGACAUAAAGAGAACCCCCAGGACAGCAACCUGCCGGGAGAGUCUGACCCUGCAGCAUGUCCAGGUCGGGAGCGGUACGGGCCCUGGUGGGUUCAGCCAGCGGGGAAGGGGAGAGCGUGGGCAGGCCGGCCGCCUCCUCUCAGCCUAUGGUCGUCAGCCCUGAUAGAGGCUCCUGUGUGUGACCUGGUCAGAGGCUGGAGGGGCCAGGCCCUUGCGGCCUCCUGGAUGCUCAGGGGAGACCCCCCUUUCUGCACACGGAUACAGCACCAACCAACAGAGGCCCCGCAUCGCCCCUGGACCCCAAGUCCUGGCUCAGUUGUGGAGGUCCCAAGUGAAGUGUGGGGUGGAGGGCAGGAAGCGAGCAUGGCUGUGCGCUCGCGCCUUCCCACCUGCUGAGUGCUGGGCCGGCAGAGGGGGCACGACCUCGUCCAUCCUCAGGGAGCUUUCUACCCGCGGGCGUGGGCAGUGCGGGCUCGGGUGGGCUGGGAACUCGCGGGCCAGGUGGUGGCGGGGUGCGCAGAGGGACUCCAUGCUGACAUGGGUGGAGACGAGACCAGCAGGAAGGAUGAGAAGCAGAAGCACAUCCCAGCAGGACUGAAUGCCCCCAGUCCCGGAGGCAAGCCCUGAAUUUGGGGAUGGAGUCGGGGAAGGUGCCGCAUUUGCUGGUGGACAUCCAGUAGACAGUGGAGCACAGAGGAGGGAACGGGUUUGUUGGGGGACAUGUUAAGUGUGGGAACCUGUGAACGCCCAAGUGGAAAUUUCUAGAAGGCGAUUGGAUAUCUGGGUCUCCCGCAGGUUAGGCCCGAGAAGAAGGUACUAGUAUCACCCUCGUAAUUUACUGAUGAAGAACCAGGAGAGGCUCGGUCCCUGCCCAGUGGCGCACAGCUCGGGAGGCCGGUGAGCAGGGGCACUGGACACAGAGCCCGGCCCUCCCCCCUGGCCUCGCCCGGCUCCCCGGCACCGGCAGUCAGCAACGGCAGCACCCAGAACAGCACCGAGGGCAUCAGCGAGCUCUGGGAUCAUCCCGGACGCCCUGGCCCUGGGGCGGCACCCAGUGCAGACUGCGAACAGGAACCCAGGGCCUCCAGGGCAGCCUGGGCCCGCCCGGGCAGGGACGCUCUGCCUGGCUUUGCCCAUUUCCCGGCCUGGUCCUGGACGCGCCCCUGGAUUGGGCAGAGUUCUGGGGGCUUCUUGUCUUCAGGAUGAACGUGGCCUCGCAGAAGUUAAGCUCCCGGACACACUGACUCUGCAGCUUCUGUCCCCGCCUGCAGGGAGGUCGGCGCUCCCUGUGCAAUGGAAUGCAGCCGCCCCUUGGGCCCGGCCUCGGUCGCCCCUCUGUACUCGCCUUUCAGGACAUCCCUGCGCUCUGCAGCCAGCAGCCAGGGCGGCACCCUAAGCGCUGCCCUUGCGAGCC